AUUGAACGCUGGCGGCAGGCCUAACACAUGCAAGUCGAACGGUAACAGGAAACAGCUUGCUGUUUCGCUGACGAGUGGCGGACGGGUGAGUAAUGUCUGGGAAACUGCCUGAUGGAGGGGGAUAACUACUGGAAACGGUAGCUAAUACCGCAUAACGUCGCAAGACCAAAGAGGGGGACCUUCGGGCCUCUUGCCAUCGGAUGUGCCCAGAUGGGAUUAGCUAGUAGGUGGGGUAACGGCUCACCUAGGCGACGAUCCCUAGCUGGUCUGAGGGGAUGACCAGCCACACUGGAACCGAGACACGGUCCAGACUCCUACGGGAGACAGCAGUGGGGAAUAUUGCACAAUGGGCGCAAGCCUGAUGCAGCCAUGCCGCGUGUAUGAAGAAGGACUUCGGGUUGUAAAGUACUUUCAGCGGGGAGGAAGGGAGUAAAGUUAAUACCUUUGCUCAUUGACGUUACCCGCAGAAGAAGCACCGGCUAACUCCGUGCCAGCCGCCGCAGUAA
rnacentral:rRNA from 1 species